AUAAUAAUCAAUUACAAUUUUUUAAUUAAAUAAUUGAUUUAAACAAAUUUAAUUCAAUCAACUUAAUUAAUAAAUAUUUUGAAUAAAUGUAAUUAAAAAUUAUUUAAUUAAAAUUGAAUUAAGCAGAGUUAAUCGAAAGUCGUUUAAUUGACGAUUGCUUUAAGCAGAAUUAAUUCAAAGCCGUUUAAUUGACGAUUGAUUUAAGCAGAAUUAAUUGAAAGCCAUUUAAUUGACGAUUGAUUUAAGCAGAACUAAUUCAAGCUAUUUAAUUGACGAUUUGUUUAUAUCUUCAAUGUUAAAAGACAUUUAUAUAAAAUUCAAUUAAUUAUAUAAGUAACACAUAUAAAUAAACAUAUAUAUAAACCAAUUUCUAGCGACAAAUGCAAUAUACUAAAUACUAUUAACCUCAUCAAAAUGAGUUGGUUGUAUAUAUAAUAAUAUAUUUGUUAAGGUAAUUCUAUGAAUAAAUAAUUUAUAACGUAAAUAAGAACAAAUAUGUAUUCUUAUUCAAUGACGACAAAAUACAACAAAUAUAUACCAUAGGUAUAAGUUAAAGUAAUAUACUAAAAACAUAAAGCAGUUCAGCUAAUUUAGCAUUACCGGCAUAAUCUUUUCUGUACGAGCGCCGGAUAUAUCUGGCAUCCAUCUAAUAACCUUAUAUGUGUUACUUAUACAAUUAGUUAAAUUUUAUAUAAAUGUCUUUUAACAUUGAAGAUAUAAACAAAUCGUCAAUUAAAUAGCUUGAAUUAAUUCUGCUUAAAGUAAUCGUCAAUUAAAUGGCUUUGAAUAAAUUCUGCUUAAAGUAAUCGUCAAUUAAAUAUCUUUAAAUAUCUUCGAUUAAAUUCGCUCAUAUCAAUCGUCAAUUAAAUAUCUUCGAUUAAAUUUGCUCAUAUCAAUUGUCAAUUAAACGACUUUCGAUUAAUUCUGCUUAAUUCAAUUUUAAUUAAAUAAUUUUUAAUUACAUUGUUUGUAAUUAAUUGUCAAUUAAAGACGGAAAUUAAUUUUAAAAGUAAUUAAUUAGUCGCAACCCUGAUCUGCAAUGGUAGACGGAAUUAUAAUAAAUUAAUAAAAAUAAUUCUACACGGUUGAAAAUGUGUGUCCUCGUGUAUAAAAGUUACAUGUUUUGUAUCGAUUAUUGCACACAGUCGAGUUAUUCGACAACUUCUGAGUCGCUGCAUUCCAAGUAUAUAGCUGGAUAGGAGGACGGUUUCUGAAUCGCGCGCACGGCUAUCGUGUCGUCCGUUAGGAAAUACAUUAUUUGAUAAGUAUCUUCGUUCCAAGUGGCGGUGAACGUUAACACCAUUUUAUCGUACUCCAAAAAUCGACGCCUGGCGUCAUCCGGGAUCUGUGUGAUGUGCGUCGGUGUCCUCAUCUUGGACGCGCGAAGAAACGUGUAAGGAUCGACCGGGGGUUCCUCCUUAUCUCCCACAUCUAUGCCUUGACUAUUUAAAAACUCUCUGCCAUACAUCCUGCGGACAAGCAGCCAGCCACUGGUACAGUGAUCAACCACGCGAACGCAAUAUUACGAAAUAAUUUCCAUGAAACCCCUUCACCGCCACGCGAAGCCCACCCCACGCAGACGACUGAUCCCACUUUGCAAUGUGUUGUUGACACAGGUACCGAACGUUGUUGUUGCUUUUUCGUUGCUACUCAGCGAAAGUAAUAUCCUCUUUCUUUGCCAUGGCACGACAAAUAAAUAAACAAUGACGGCUGAAAACAAACCGCAGCCCGAUGCAGCAAGUAAACUACCCCAC